rnacentral:lncRNA from 1 species
AAUGAAGAUGUCAAUGUGAGGCGAGAUUGUGUGAUGAGCUGUCUGAGCAUCUACCUCAAUGAAGACCUGGAACCACUUGGUAAAGAAUAUGUGGUAUGUAUCAGAAUAGUGUGCCAGUAAUUUUUCCAUCUAGAUAAUAUGGAUUGUUCAUGAGAAUGGAAUGGACAUUAGGACACAUUGACCACCAGUAUUUCAACAUUGAGUCCAUUGGGUUGUUUUGAAUAAAAAAAAUCAUGCAAGGUAAAUGGUGGUAGAGCUGUCACUCUGAGGGAAUUAAAUCUGCUUGGUCCAGAGGAACCUGAAGAUGAAGUUGUCUGGGUUCUGGCACCCACAUGCCCCUUCUCCGCCAGAAACAACAAUCCUCGCCUAAACAACAAGGAUGCAUGUUCUGGACUGUCUGCUUACGAACUCAAGCGCCUUGAGAACAUCACGCACAAGGAAGCCUUCUUGUCGUCUCUGAAGAUAUGGCAAGUAGUGGAAGAUCUGAGGCAGUCAGUGAAGCCAAAGCCCAAUGUCAAAAGGUUAAUGGCUUCAUUGGAAGAAAAAUCUCUGCAGUUUCCCUGGAAAUCCCUCCGUUCUAAAAUAGAAAACCUCACCCCAAGUGAAGGGUUGACCCAUAAUCAAGACAUUGAAUCCAGAGAGGCAGAGGAAGACAUGGCAGGAAAGACCAUGGGCAUCUACAAAGUACAAUCAAAGGAUCAUGGUCAAGGUGAUGGACGCUUCACUGAUGUCCGUGUUGUGCUGGAAGGUGUGGAGGUUCUCCACAACCUGUAGAGUGUCACUCAUGCAUGGGUUAUGUUAUAUGGCCUGAUCUACGCGCUCAAUUUGAACUACCCUAAAAGCCUGAAGUGUACAUUUGAGGUGUACCAGAAAAUCCUGAUGGACCUGGACUCAACCAAGCUUUCCCCGAAAGUACAGACACUGAAACUGAAAUUGCUCCAGUGGCUAAAAAUAAUAACUUACACAGCCCCUACCCAUUUUUUUUCACAUUGUGCUCCAACCCAGAGAUAUGUUAAAAUGAUUUCCUAGUUCUAUAAUGAUAUGUUAAUUAGCAACUGAAAAUGGAUCUCUGAGUACAGUUUUAUUUUUUAUUUAUUUAUUUUUUUGGGUGUCCAAGCAGUCAUGUGAUGUUCGAGUGUGGCUGUGUAAGUGGGUUCAUAUGGAUGGUUUCCUAAAUGUUGGCUGAUGUUAACUUGGCUCAAUCCAGAGUUUUGUAUAAAAGAUAAAUAUAAAUAAAUCUGGAAUUUUCCAGUUGGUCUAAUUCAAUGUGAUGCAUUUUUUGAUUUGGUUUAGUAUAUAAGCAUACAUUAAACAUGAUUCAAAUAAAUGUUAUUUAUAUUUUUUAGUUACCCCGAUUUAGUUCUCUUAAUUAUUAUGCAAUUUAUACAAUAAACUUUGUGUAUUUUAAAUAAAUACACUUUUUAUUAUUAAUUUAGAAUAAUUACACUUUACAUGAACUAAUUACGUAAACCUGAGGAUUAUGCAUUUAAAAUAAAUAGGUUUUAUUAUCCUUAUGAAAAUAAAUAGUAUAAAGUUUAUUUGGUAGAUUUGUGUUAAAAUUAUGAAAAAAUAUAAAUGGUAAUUUGUCAUGUAAUAAAAUUACAUAAAUCUUAAUUUUUGGAUGAAAUAUUUCUGUGAGUGUGGUAGUAAAAAACAGCUUGAACUCGAAACACUGUAGAGAAAUCAAACUGAUUGUAUAACUGACAUAUAGAAAGAUAGUUUCUAAUUGCUUGAAAUUUAAUGUGAUAUACACUAAUGUUCAAAAAAUUAUUAUUGUUA